AACCCAUGAUGAGGGUACCUUUUCAAUAGAUCCUUGUAUCUCUCCCAUGCAUCAUAGAGUGUUUCUAGAUCCAUUUGCACAAAAGAAGAUAUAUCAUUUCUCAACUU
rnacentral:snoRNA from 1 species